AUUGGGGGAUUAACAGUGCUAUUAACUACUUACGUGUAAAAUGAGAUGUGAAUAUUAAUUAACUAAUUAAGAGGUUGAAUCCUAUUCAGUUAGUUAAAAGAUACAAAAGCUGGUGCGCUAAAGAGAUGGCUGGGUUAGACAGGACACUCUUUGGGGGAGUAUUUUUGCAAUUGUCACCUGAGCCUCUCUGGGGUCCCGGGGGUCUGCAUAGCGCUAUAUAAAUAACAUUGAUUUGGAAGUAAAUAUAAGAACGAUAAAAUAGUGCUACUAAAAAUAACAACAGCAACAAUAGUAGACAUAUAUUUGUAUGAACACAUAAUGUGAGAAACCAAACAAAACAGCAAACAUUUUAAGUAAAGUGGUAUGUACAGGCUGGUGCUGUUCAAUGAAAGGUGGAGUUUGUAUGUGGUAAGAUUUUCAUGUUGUCAAGGGUGGCGCCCCAUUCUGUGAUACAUUCUGUUCCUCAUGUACAUGUUGGUAAUCUCACAUUGAUCAUCAUUCUGCAUAAUGGAAUUCGACCGUUUUAAGUACAAUCUAAAAUUACCCCCAUAUGAUGUUAAGGCUUUUUAAAAUGGGAUUUACCCAGGAAUCUGCUGUCACGGCCAUUUUAGCGAAUUUAAAGGGAUAGUAACGAUGUUGUCGAUUGCUGGUCUUUUUUGAGUUAAUGUGUCAGACGUGUCUGACCGUGGUAACAGAUAAUGCAAUGAAACAUAAUGAAUGAAACCCUUCACAACAUCGGGCAUUUUCUUCGUGGGCCGAUGGGUUUUUAGGCCGGCAAAAUUCUUCAUGAUAAACCCCCAUCGGCAAAAUUUAUCGAGGGUACGUAUGUAUGGCACGGUUCGCUAUUUACUAUUUAAUACAUGUAAUUAUAUGGACAUUUGGGGUACUUAACGAAGACUGCGCCUGAAUGGCGCCUUAACAGCAAACACAUUUAUGGGAGACAAAAAUCUGUGUAAGAAUCGCCACAAGGUGUCGUACUCGAGGCAAAGAAUGAUGCUCGUUAUACCUUUUUCGUCUGGCUGCGUUAAGUGGCGUUUUAGUAUUCUGAUUCCUCAGCUCACACCUCAAAAUGCUUUUUAGCUGAGUUUCUCAAGGGUGGUACAAUCAUGAAACCGACACUAUUAUUAGAAGAUUUCUUGCGCGCAUAUACCACGUCAUCCUAGACAGAUAACACUGACCGCUAAGUCUGCCAAAAAUACAGCCAUAUACGACUGAAUAUAUAUCUGCAGAUCUAUAUAGCUUCCUUCAUCAAGCAAAUUUAUAUUUUAUAUAGGAAUCAUUUUGCUACAUCCAUCUAUCCAUCCAUCCAUUGUUUUUCAAUAGAUAUUUAUCCAGUAUAGGGUAACAAUGAGUCUGGUGCAGCACCAGUUCCCCCCUGGAUGGGGAUUAACAGAACUCUUCUGUAAGUUGAAAAAUUAACACACACACACACACGUAUAUAUACAUUGCCCAGCCAAAAAAAAGUCACCAUUUGAAUUUUUCGUUGGACCGCUUUUAGCUUUGAUUAUGGUGCACAUUUUGUCAUCCCUUUGUUUAAAUAAGCUUAUGUAAAACCUCACCCUUUAUUUUCAUCCAGAUUUGCAUUAAUUUCUCACUGAGAUCCUGUAUUGACUAGUGAGUUGAACCACUCCAUAAAGCCUCCUUCAGCACGUCCCAAAGACCUUCAAUGAGGUUAAGGUCACAACUCUGUGGUGACCAAGUCAUGUGUGAAAAUGAUUCCUCAUGCUCCCUGAACCUCUCUUUGACAAUUCGAACCCAAUGAAUCCUGGUAUCCUUGUCCUGGAAUAUGCCCAUGCCAACGAGGAAGAGAAACAUCCAUUGCUGAUGGAUGGAGGUGUAACCCGGCCAUUCAGUAGAUUCAGAAGACAUCCUGACAUCCUGAGAUGAAAUUUCAGAACAUUCAAUUAAAAAGACUACAGAAGCCAACAUCCUAAGGUGUCAACACACCACAUUAAUUUAACUUUUGGGGGUUUCGUAACAGAAGGGAAAUGGGGAGAAGAUGAAAUCUGAUAUUCUGACUGUUUACAUCAUUUCCCUUUCCUGCAAGGAAGAGAAGGCAAGCAGGAAUGUUUGGUAAUAUUGACCUGCUGGCAAUUAUUGUAAUCUCCUUAUGCUUAGCUACAUUUUUACCCAGAGCUAUACUAAGCUAAGUCAAAUGAUUCUUGAAAUCCUUGAAAACUGUGGUAUCAGUGAGCUUAGAGUGAAACAAAAGAAAAUGAUUGGUGAGGGGACAGUAAUUUUUAUGCUAUCAUAGGGCAGGAUUGGCACUCCAGCCGCCGGAAAAAAAACUCUUACUGGUCUAUUCAGUGGUCCGUUCGGUGCCGCCGCACAGCUGCACUCAGGUUCUCAUCCCUGAGGUGGUUUGUCCUGUGGCAGGUGCGGCAAUGUGCUGUAAUCAGUGUGUGCUCCUUACCUCAUAGGGCAAGGUCCUUCUCCGUGUCAGGAAAGGAUACACCAUUAACUAAACAUUGCUAAUGUUUGCCUGCCAAAGCUACAUUAGAUCUGGCUCCUACAUGCCGUCUGCUCGUAAGCCCUCCACUCUGGAAAUGAGUUGAUGGUGUUCACCUAGACAUUUGCUUAAUGAACCCGAGACACUCAGAGCUGGCUGACACAGACCGUAAUCUUCAAUGACUCUCUUCUAUCACGUUCCUUUUAGUUGGAUUUUAGUUCGAUGGGGUUGGAGCUGCGCAAUGCAUGUUUGCAGUGGUGUAAUGCCCUGCAGCUCACGUGAGCUAACUCUGCUGCUGACGGCAGAGUUGUUAUUUACAAGCCGCGGAAGCCUGGUAGGUGAUAGUCAAGCUAACGUGCCACAUAUGAGAAGCCCACAUUUUUAUCUUUAGUCCAAUGAGACAACAGUUGUUCAGCUGAGAACAUACUACUGAACAUGAUGCAAAACAAAAAGGAGUAUGUCCAUCUAUCAAAGACCGAGUUUGGUUUUAAAUGGGUUUGAAGAACAUGUAGUUAGAUGGAUCCCUGUCUUUGAAUUGCCCAUAGUGUGUGACUGUGGCACUGCCCUGUCUCCCCUGAGUUUCCCCUGCCUUGUGUCCAAAGCUUUGUAGAUAGGUUCCAGGCUCACUUUGACCCUAGAUCAGCGGUUAUGGACGAUGGGGAGGUGACAUAUCAAUAACGACAGUUAUUUGGAGUACUCUUAAAUUAGGUCAUAAAUCAUUUAAAAUGUAUAUUGCUGUAAUAUGUAUACAUCGUGUAUUAUUAUUUAUCAGGUCUGCUACACUGACAGCAAAAGAAAAUCAUUGAACGGUGUGUUAGUAAUGAAUUAAAAAUGUAACAGUUGAAUAAUACAGUUUGCAGACCAUGGGCUGAUGUAACAAGUGAUACAAAUCAUUUAAUUGUGGGUUAAUUUUUAAAUAUAUUUCGGCCUUAUUCCAUCUUAAGUUAAAAGUAACCCCAGCUUAUUCUGAAAUCUCUUGUCCCCCUCAUAUUAUAUGAUUUGAAUUAUAAUAUAAAUACAGAUUUUAAUGAGGUAAGAGUACAAUUCGGAUUAAAACUCCAAGGACAAUGUUAUGUAUCCCAGUGGUGCUUCGUUUUGGACGACACUGCGGGUUUUUAAGGUUGAUGUGACAUCUUACAAGCACUUAAUGAAAAUAAUUUGGUUCAAUGGCACCUACAGAGACCUUGGCUUGUACAACAGAACACAGCCAUUGUGGAAUGGUAGUCAUAUAAUGAAGGCCAUUUGCAAAUGAAUGGUGAAGGCAGUGAAAAUGACUUCCCUUCCAAUCGCUUUCAUUCCGUUUUUUCCUGACUCGAGGGUAACCACUGAUUUACAUCAGCAAUUUGCAUCUGUCAAAAAUAAAAUGUAAUUUCUCUUUUGGAGAAAAAGUAUUUUAAUUAAGGUAAAAAGUAAACUGUGUUACAAUCAGUAUAUGGGUAAAUGAACCAAGACAUAUUUUUAAAAACCAAUUUACUGUGUGUAUAUAUAUUGAAAAUGACAUUUAGUUUUGCCAAGAAGCAAAGUUAGCAAAAAAAAAAAAAUUAAAAUUUAGUUUAUGAAGGCAAGCUAAAUCACCGCUUUUGUUUAAUUUACGAUUAAUUUAAUGUACUGGAGGCAUACAUUUAUGACCAACAUUUUUUUUAGAAGUCGUUUAAAAAUGUACAAGAGUAUACAUUGAUUUCUUACAAAACAUCAAGGCAAAGUGUGCAAAUGAUAAAAAAAGAACGGUUAGAACACUGAACGGCAGCAGCAAUUUAUGCCAUUCAUCUUAGCUGAGGACCAAGACAAAGUAAAACGGGAAAAAAAAAAUCACAUUACACACAUCGAAUGAGAGCUUCAACAAUGAAAUACAUAUUUCCCAUCAGGCCUUAAAAAAAAACAAAGCAAAAAAGACAACCC